AUGUUGUCUGGACAUAUCAAGGAAAAACAGCUGGCCUCAAUUUAUUUGAGGAUAAGAGGACAACCUUUCAUAAGGACAACCACCGUUGCAACAGCAGGAGAAACAGUAAGGAAACCAGACAAAAUGUUCACAUCCUGUUUUUCAGUGUCUGUCAGCAAAUUCUGUUUGGAUAACCCUGAGCAUGAGGAUUCAACUCCCUUUGCAUCUCAAACUGGUAAAAUUGCUUGCUUUUUUGUUAUAGCUGUAAUCAUACCAAGUCUGCUUUCUUAUUUAAGUAUGAAAGCUAACUGUUAUUCAGACAAAUACACUGUGAUAACCAAAGAAGAGAAAUCCUAGUUCUAACUAGCUAGGUUGAAGUGGUCAGAGGUCAUGCCUCCUCUUAGGACAAAAUCAGGAUGUUUUCUGCUCCCUAAGAUUGACAGAAACUCAAUCUGGAAUGUAUCCACAGGAGGAUGACUGAAAUGGUAAAAAGUCCAGCCCUACUUGGCACAAUUCAAGAAGGAUAUUGACCAGCUUGAAUGUGUCCAGAGAAAGGCAAUCGAAGUGAUCAAAGGCCUGGAAGUGAAGUCCCAUGAAGAGCGACUUAGGGGGCUCAUUAUGUUUAGACUGGAGAAAAGAAAGUCAAGAAGGGAUAUGCUAAUUGAAUUUAAAUAUUUGAAAAGAUGUUAUAUUGAUAAAAAAUAUUCAUAGUUGUUAAUGGCAGCCUAUCUUUACAAUUAAAGCUAUGCACCUCUAUUCAGUUGUACCAAUCUGUUGGGUGAUUAUACCCUAAAAGAUACCAGAUCCUAUUUUAUCUUGGAAGCUAAGCAGGUUUAACUCUGGUUAGUACUUAGAUACUUAGAUCAAUGCAUAGCAGGUGCUGUAGGUUGUAUUUCAGAGGAAAAAAUUGGCAAAACUACCUCUCGGUAUUCCCUGCCUAAGAAAAACCUGUGACAUUCAUGGUGUUGCCCUAAGUCCACAGGGACUGUAAAGGCACAUACAUGUGCUAACAAGUAUGGGAGUGACUGCAGUUUUAGGGCCUCAUCACACUUGAGCAUUUUCCCACUUCAAUCCACAUUAAAUGCUGUGACUGCCUCCUAAAGAAUUCUGGGGUUUGUAGUUUAGGGAGGCCCAGAACUUAUCUGGAUGAGCAGUUU
rnacentral:lncRNA from 1 species